rnacentral:rRNA from 1 species
GACGAACGCUGGCGGCGUGCUUAACACAUGCAAGUCGAACGGAAAGGCCCUGCUUUUGUGGGGUGCUCGAGUGGCGAACGGGUGAGUAACACGUGAGUAACCUGCCCUUGACUUUGGGAUAACUUCAGGAAACUGGGGCUAAUACCGGAUAGGAGCUCCUGCUGCAUGGUGGGGGUUGGAAAGUUUCGGCGGUUGGGGAUGGACUCGCGGCUUAUCAGCUUGUUGGUGGGGUAGUGGCUUACCAAGGCUUUGACGGGUAGCCGGCCUGAGAGGGUGACCGGGCACAAUGGGACUGAGAUACGGGCCAGAAUCCUACGGGAGGGAAGAGGGGGGAAUAUUGGAAAAAGGGGCGAAGGCCGAUGGAACAACCGCCGGGGGGGGAUGACGGCCUUCGGGUUGUAAACCGCUUUCGCCUGUGACGAAGCGUGAGUGACGGUAAUGGGUAAAGAAGCACCGGCUAACUACGUG